AAUAUUGCACAAUGGGCGCAAGCCUGAUGCAGCGACGCCGCGUGAGCGAAGAAGGUUUUCGGAUCGUAAAGCUCUGUCCUCUGGGAAGAAAAAAAUGACGGUACCAGAGGAGGAAGUCCCGGCUAACUACGUUCCACACGCCGCGGCAAUACGUAGGGGGCUAGCGUUGUCCGGAUUUACUGGGCGUAAAGGGUGAGUAGGCGGUAACGUGUGUCAGAUGUUUAAUCUAUGGGCUCAACCCAUAUCAGCAUUUGAAACUACGUAACUUGAGUGCAGGAGAGGUAAGUGGAAUUCCUAGUGUAGCGGUGGAAUGCGUAGAUAUUAGGAGGAACACCAGUGGCGAAGGCGACUUACUGGACUGCAACUAACGCUGAGUCACAAAAGCGUGGGGAGCAAACAGG
rnacentral:rRNA from 1 species